AUAUAUGAGGGUGAUCUGGCUGUGACAUCAGUCACUCCACUGAUUUUCAAAAUUAAUUUGACUUAUCUGGCUGACGAUGCAGUUGUCCCCUUAUUUCCUCAUUACUCCAUGUAUGUCUGUAUGUCCUUCCUGAAGCUACCUGCUUGGUUGAACAGGAUGACCUUCUCCAAUAGAAGAUAACUGUUCUUCAGUCAAGCUGCACUCUCCUGCUAAAACCUCAAAACAAGCUCUCAUGAUGACCAUUUUUUCCAAACUGAUCAAUAGAUUCAAUGUAUUUCCAAUCAAAAUCCCAGCAGGCAUUUUUUUU
ensembl:misc_RNA 7SK 7SK RNA